ensembl:miRNA Mir681 microRNA 681
GCAGCCUCGCUGGCUGGCAGCUCCAGAGUAUGGCUGUCCUCAUCACUCUCCCUAAGCAGGUAGAUGGGUUUCAGUUCACCUGGAGCAGUCCAGGGGCCUCCAGCGGGACAGUUG